AUUGAACGCUGGCGGCAGGCUUAACACAUGCAAGUCGAACGAGUGGCGGACGGGUGAGUAAUGUCUGGGAAACUGCCUUAUGGAGGGGGAUAACUACUGGAAACUGUAGCUAAUACCGCAUACCAUCGGAUGUGCCCAGAUGGGAUUAGGUAGUUGGUGGGGUAACGGCUCACCUAGGCGACGAUCCCUAGCUGGUCUGAGAGGAUGACCAGCCACACUGGAACUGAGACACGGCCCAGACUCCUACGGGAGGCAGCAGUGGGGAAUAUGGCACAAUGGGCGCAAGCCUGACGCAGCCAUGCCGCGUGUAUGAAGAAGGCCUUCGGGUUGUAAAGUACUUUCAGUGGGGAGGCGUUACCCGCAGAAGAAGCACCGGCUAACUCCGUGCCAGCAGCCGCGGUAAUAC
rnacentral:rRNA from 1 species